CGCCCCUGUGCAUCGCAGCGCAACCUGCGAUGGGAGAGGUUUCUCUGCCUUCGUGGCCGCUUCCUUAACAGAUUCAUGAUUGGCAGGUGGCCUGCGAGCUCUCACAUGCGUGCGGUGGGCGCCCCAGGGACUGCCCCUCCUUUGGCAGGAGCCUGGUUUGUGUUUAUUUUUGGUUGUGCCAGAGGGAAACUGCACUUUGAGGAAGAAAAACAAUUGCUGGUUGUUUAGGAGGAGCAGUCUAAUCCGAGACGGCCUUGUCUUCUGCAGAAAACAAGCGGGGCGCAAAUCAACCCAGGCGCAGCCAAGGGGCCGCGGUCGCGCUGAGUCACAGCCCGCUCAGAGCUCAGCGUGACUCAGGGCUGGCCGCCUCCCUGAGGCAUCUACGAGAGAAACCUGAUAAAUUUGCACAGGGACAGAUGCUCAGGGGAAAGGAAAGAGCUCUGCCUUGCACUUGUACAGAAAGGAAACAAGGCAGCAGAGGCAAGACCAAUGGAGAGUACGGCAGCAAGACAGAAAGGGGCAGAAGGCGACAGAACAUGCACGCUGGGGACAUGGAAAUUUCUAGAAAGAAGGCGCAAGCAGAAACAGGACACCGGCGAUAAAAAGUUCCCUUUGUAACCAGACCAGCUGAGACCAGUUACAAAGCCUACCCCAGGUAUCCGACCAGAUGACUUCAAAAAGACCUCAGGCUUCAUUAUAAUCUAAUUUCCAUGCUAAAUGACACUUCCACCAGUGUCAUGACGGUUGCCAGUCCCCGUGACAAUGACCAGAAGGAGCCAUAAAAGGACAAAAACAAGGGAGCCCCUCAUUCCAAGAAGUGUACCGCCCAGUUCCAGAAAAGACAUGGAUAUUCCUCCUCUUGCUUUUAAUGUCCAGCCAUCAUUAAGGAAACCCUAUAUGAUAACCCCCUCACCCCUCACUAAUUGAGAAGUUGAUUUGUGAGCCAAGCUCCCGCUUCUCAAUUCCAUGGCCAUCGAAUAAAGCCUGCACCACUUGACACUCA
rnacentral:lncRNA from 10 species